UACGAAGGGGGCUAGCGUUGUUCGGAAUUACUGGGCGUAAAGCGCACGUAGGCGGAUUUGUUAGUCAGGGGUGAAAUCCCGGGGCUCAACCUCGGAACUGCCUUUAAUACUGCAAGUCUCGAGUCCGGAAGAGGUGAGUGGAAUUCCUAGUGUAGAGGUGAAAUUCGUAGAUAUUAGGAAGAACACCAGUGGCGAAGGCGGCUCACUGGUCCGGUACUGACGCUGAGGUGCGAAAGCGUGGGGAGCAAACAGG
rnacentral:rRNA from 1 species